rnacentral:rRNA from 1 species
CCUGCCCUUGACUCUGGGAUAAGCCUGGGAAACUGGGUCUAAUACUGGAUAUGACCUCCUGUCGCAUGGUGGGGGGUGGAAAGGGUUUGUACUGGUUGUGGAUGGGCUCACGGCCUAUCAGCUUGUUGGUGGGGUAAUGGCCUACCAAGGCGACGACGGGUAGCCGGCCUGAGAGGGUGACCGGCCACACUGGGACUGAGACACGGCCCAGACUCCUACGGGAGGCAGCAGUGGGGAAUAUUGCACAAUGGGCGCAAGCCUGAUGCAGCGACGCCGCGUGAGGGAUGACGGCCUUCGGGUUGUAAACCUCUUUCAGCACGGAAGAAGCGAAAGUGACGGUACGUGCAGAAGAAGCGCCGGCUAACUACGUGCCAGCAGCCGCGGUAAUACGUAGGGCGCAAGCGUUGUCCGGAAUUAUUGGGCGUAAAGAGCUCGUAGGCGGUUUGUCGCGUCUGCUGUGAAAGCCCGGGGCUUAACCCCGGGUGUGCAGUGGGUACGGGCAGACUUGAGUGCAGUAGGGGAGACUGGAACUCCUGGUGUAGCGGUGAAAUGCGCA